AGGUUUUUGAGCUAGCAAGUUGUAUUGAAAUACGGGGAUAGUCAAACUUGGCAAGCAUAAGAGAUGGGGACUAGUGUAUGUAACAGACAAAUAGUGCCCACAUCCAAGUAAGAAACAUGCAUCACUAGUUAAAUAUCAAGAGACAAGUUGUAGAAUCCUAUCCGUUUUGCUUAAGUACUGUCCAAAAGUGAACUUGCUAUAAAUAGGUAACCAUAGAUUGUGGAAUAUAUAGGCAAGGUAGAAAAAGAAAAAAAUAAAACUCAAAAGAUGGUGAGAAAAGCAGAUUUGAUCAUUGCUGUUUCAUGGCUCUUACUUGUGGCAUUCAUAGUCGUUUCUGCUUAUCCAGACAACACAAAGGUUCACCCCACAACUUCUAAGCAUAUGGUUUAUUAUCCUCAAGGUUGUAGGUGCUGCUGGUUCAUAUGGAAGCCAAUGAUACAAUGUGGGAAAGUAUGUUGUGGAGAUGGAUGUUGCUCUUAAGUAUCCUAUAAGUUCUACAGUCCUAUAUAUGUUUCUCUUCACCACCCAGAUGCAUAAUAAUGUAAUGCUAAACAAUUAUCCAGGAACCCAAAAAAUUAAAUUGUGCCAUGUCUAGAAGUUUGAAGUGUUAUUGAUAUAUAAGUUAAUGUAAUCAAAGUUUUUCUAUGAA